AGAGUUUGAUCCUGGCUCAGGAUGAACGCUAGCUACAGGCUUAACACAUGCAAGUCGAGGGGCAGCACGGGGGUAUCAAUACUCUGGGUGGCGACCGGCGCACGGGUGCGUAACGCGUAUCCAACCUUCCCGUUACUCUUGGAUAUCCUUCCGAAAGGGAGAUUAAUACAAGAUGGUGUUUCACUUUCGCAUGUAACUGAAACUAAAAAUUAAUCGGUAACGGAUGGCGAUGCUUGACAUUAGAUAGAUGGCGGGGUAACGGCCCACCAUGUCUACGAUGUCUAGGGGUUCUGAGAGGAAGGUCCCCCACACUGGAACUGAGACACGGUCCAGACUCCUACGGGAGGCAGCAGUGAGGAAUAUUGGUCAAUGGUCGAGAGACUGAACCAGCCAAGUAGCGUGAAGGAUGAAGGUUCUAUGGAUUGUAAACUUCUUUUAUACGGGAAUAAAACGUCCCACGUGUGGGAUCUUGUAUGUACCGUAUGAAUAAGCAUCGGCUAACUCCGUGCCAGCAGCCGCGGUAAUAAGGAGGAUGCGAGCGUUAUCCGGAUUUCUUGGGUUUAAAGGGAGCGUACACGGGAUGUUAAGUCAGUUGUGAAAGGCUGUGGCUCAACCAUAGCACUGCAGUUGAUACUGGCGUCCUUGAGUGCGGUUGAGGUGUGUGGAAUUCGUGGAGAACCGGUGAAAUGCUUAAAUAUCACGAACAACUUCCAAUGCGAAGGCCACCCACUAAGCCCGCUACUGAUCUUUAAUGCUCAAAAGUGUUGGGUAUAAAACAGGAAUAAAAUACCCGGGUACCCCACACGGAAAACAAAAAAAACCCCCCUGUUGGCGAAAAAAUGUCAGCGGCCAAGCGAAAGCAUUAAGUAUUCCACUUGGGGAGUACGCCGGCAACGGUGAAACUCAAAGGAAUUGACGGGGGCCCGCACAAGCGGAGGAACAUGUGGUUUAAUUCGAUGAUACGCGAGGAACCUUACCCGGGCUUAAAUUGCAUCUGACAGGCAAAGAGAUUUGCUUUUCUUCGGACAGAUGUGAAGGUGCUGCAUGGUUGUCGUCAGCUCGUGCCGUGAGGUGUCGGCUUAAGUGCCAUAACGAGCGCAACCCUUGCCGGUAGUUACCAUCAGGUUAUGCUGGGGACUCUACCGGGACUGCCAUCGUAAGAUGUGAGGAAGGUGGGGAUGACGUCAAAUCAGCACGGCCCUUACGUCCGGGGCUACACACGUGUUACAAUGGGAGGUACAGAAGGCUGCUACCCGGCGACGGGAUGCCAAUCCCCAAAACCUCUCUCAGUUCGGAUUGGAGUCUGCAACCCGACUCCAAGAAGCUGGAUUCGUUAGUAAUCGCGCAUCAGCCACGGCGCGGUGAAUACGUUCCCGGGCCUUGUACACAC
rnacentral:rRNA from 1 species